AGAGGCCACUUCUUUUCCUCUUGUCUCUCUUUCUCUUGGUUCUUCUGCUGUUUUUUUGAUUUCUCCUUCUAAAGAGGAAAAACCAGUUCCAAUUCUUUUAAAAAGUGGAGAUGUUGUUAUUAUGUCUGGUCCUUCUCGUACUUAUUUUCAUGGAGUACCAAGAAUCAUUGAAAACACUUUUCUUCCUUCUUUUCAAAUCCCAGAAGAGAUAAAAGAAAGAGAAAGAAAGAUAGAA
rnacentral:ribozyme from 13 species